rnacentral:rRNA from 1 species
GACGAACGCUGGCGGCGUGCUUAACACAUGCAAGUCGAACGGUGAACCUGCUUCGGUGGGGGAUCAGUGGCGAACGGGUGAGUAACACUUAGGCAACCUUCCCUCACCUCUGGGAUAACUCCAACAACUUGGGGCCAAUACUGGUUAUGACCGCUGACCGCAUGGUCUGGUGGCGGUAAGAUUUAUCGGCUGGGGUUUGGCCCGCGGCCUAUGAGCUGGUUGGUGGGGUAGUGGCCAACGAAGGCGCCGACCGGUAGCCGGCCUGAGAGGGUGACCGGCCACACUGGGACUGAGACACGGCCCAGACUCCUACGGGAGGCAGCAGUGGGGAAUAUUGCGCAAUGGGCGAAAGCCUGACGCAGCGACGCCGCGUGGGGGAUGACGGCCUUCGGGUUGUAAACCUCUUUCAGCAGAGACGAAGCGAAAGUGACGGUACCUGCAGAAGAAGCACCGGCCAACUACGUG